GACGAACGCUGGCGGCGUGCUUAACACAUGCAAGUCGAGCGGUAAGGCCCUUUCGGGGGUACACGAGCGGCGAACGGGUGAGUAACACGUGGGUGACCUGCCCUCAGCUCUGGGAUAAGCCCUGGGAAACCGGGUCUAAUACCGGAUAUGACUCCAUGACGCAUGUUGUGGGGUGGAAAGCCUUGUGCGGCUGAGGAUGGGCCCGCGGCCUAUCAGCUUGUUGGUGGGGUGAUGGCCUACCAAGGCGACGACGGGUAGCCGGCCUGAGAGGGCGACCGGCCACACUGGGACUGAGACACGGCCCAGACUCCUACGGGAGGCAGCAGUGGGGAAUCUUGCGCAAUGGCGAAAGCCUGACGCAGCGACGCCGCGUGA
rnacentral:rRNA from 1 species